AUAGACCUUGGCUUUAGUCCAAGACUCAAAAGUUCUCUUCUGCCGGGUCUCUACAGUCUUGGACUUCUCAUUCUUCCUUGGCCUCAGGCUCAAGGAAAGGGUUUGGAUAUGCAGAAUGUACUCAAGCUCAAUGUCUAGGUGUACAGCUAUAGAUCCUACUGUGCUAAGCGGCCUUGUGGAGUGAUCUUCUUACUAGUAAGAUUUGCACACCAAUAAUAAAACAAAGGUUGCAAAAUAAAGAGCUAUGGCAUCUGCAUGUACUGCUAGUUCAUGACAAGUGAACAUGUAUUGUCCAUCUCUUCAAAUUGAAAAGACUGCAGAGCCUGAAUUACCUGCAACGUUAUGCUUCUUAUGAAACAUCAGCCAGCCUACAGAUAGAAGCUCCCUUUUCCAGCUUUAAGCAAGAGGAACCACAAUGAGAUACAGAUAUUGGUAUCAUGGACUGGUCACUUUUUACAACCAACACUACUUGUAAAAUAAGAUUUACAAAUUAAUUCCUAUAAGCUAUUAAAAAUGCUCUAGUCAAGGUACUAAAAUUUUGCCAUCGAGUUUGAGGUUUUGGGUAUGAUAAAAUGUUAACAUAAAAUAUUUUAAAGGAAGUUAACGGUUUAAUGAUACUUCCAAGAUUUCCUAUAUUUUAAACAGAAUUUUAGAAUCUUGCAGAAGAAAAGAGAAGAAAUAAAAAGCUAUUAUUCUGUCAUGGAGGUUAUUGUUGCCACACUCACAUUACAUAUAUAAUUUUGUUCAUGGCAAUAAAUCUUAAAAUAUCAAAUUGGAAUUUCUUAAUUAGCAAUUCAUCUGAGCAGCAGUUUGAUGACCUAUUUGGAACUCUUCCUAGAGGCACUUCUUGCAUGACUAUGUAUCGAUAAUUACCUGU